CAGUAGCCGCGGUAACACGUAGGGUGCGAGCGUUAAUCGGAAUUACUGGGCGUAAAGCGUGCGCAGGCGGUUUGUUAAGACAGAUGUGAAAUCCCCGGGCUCAACCUGGGAAUGGCAAUGGAUACUGGCAAGCUAGAGUGUGUCAGAGGAUGGUGGAAUUCCCGGUGUAGCGGUGAAAUGCGUAGAGAUCGGGAGGAACAUCAGUGGCGAAGGCGGCCAUCUGGGACAACACUGACGCUGAGGCACGAAAGCGUGGGGAGCAAACAGGAUUAGAGACCCCCGUAGUCCCUGUCUCUUAUAC
rnacentral:rRNA from 1 species